GGCUCAGUGGUCCGAUGGUAAAGCGCUCGUCACGGAACCAGAGGGUCCUGGGUUCGAUCCCUAACAGGGUCG
rnacentral:tRNA from 1 species